rnacentral:rRNA from 1 species
AGAGUUUGAUCAUGGCUCAGGACGAACGCUGGCGGCGUGCUUAACACAUGCAAGUCGAACGGAAAGGCCCUUCGGGGUACUCGAGUGGCGAACGGGUGAGUAACACGUGGGUGAUCUGCCCUGCACUCUGGGAUAAGCCUGGGAAACUGGGUCUAAUACCGGAUAGGACCGCAUGCUUCAUGGUGUGUGGUGCAAAGCUUUUGCGGUGUGGGAUGAGCCCGCGGCCUAUCAGCUUGUUGGUGGGGUAAUGGCCUACCAAGGCGACGACGGGUAGCCGGCCUGAGAGGGUGACCGGCCACACUGGGACUGAGAUACGGCCCAGACUCCUACGGGAGGCAGCAGUGGGGAAUAUUGCACAAUGGGCGCAAGCCUGAUGCAGCGACGCCGCGUGAGGGAUGACGGCCUUCGGGUUGUAAACCUCUUUCAGUAGGGACGAAGCGAAAGUGACGGUACCUACAGAAGAAGGACCGGCCAACUACGUGCCAGCAGCCGCGGUAAUACGUAGGGUCCGAGCGUUGUCCGGAAUUACUGGGCGUAAAGAGCUCGUAGGUGGUUUGUCGCGUUGUUCGUGAAAACUCACAGCUUAACUGUGGGCGUGCGGGCGAUACGGGCAGACUAGAGUACUGCAGGGGAGACUGGAAUUCCUGGUGUAGCGGUGGAAUGCGCAGAUAUCUGGAGGAACAUCAGUGGCGAAGGCGGCUUCCUGGUCCAAUACUGACGCUGAGGUGCGAAAGCGUGGGGAGCAAACAGGAUUAGAUACCCCGGUAGUCCAA